GAACCAGGAAGCCGGUGCGAAUCCGGCACGGUCCCGCCACUGUGACCGGGCCCCCUCCCGUACGGACUCCGAAUCCGUGCCGGAGGGCGGCCCGGAAGCCAGGAACUG
rfam:Streptomyces sp. HCCB10043 Contig_1062, whole genome shotgun sequence.